AUACGGAGGGGGCUAGCGUUGUUCGGAAUUACUGGGCGUAAAGCGCGCGUAGGCGGGCUGGUUAGUUGGGGGUGAAAUCCCAGGGCUUAACCCUGGAACUGCCUUCAAUACUGCCAGUCUAGAGUUCGAGAGAGGUGAGUGGAAUUCCUAGUGUAGAGGUGAAAUUCGUAGAUAUUAGGAAGAACACCAGUGGCGAAGGCGGCUCACUGGCUCGAUACUGACGCUGAGGUGCGAAAGCGUGGGGAGCAAACAGGAUUAGAUACCCCAGUAGUCC
rnacentral:rRNA from 1 species